rnacentral:rRNA from 1 species
AUUGAACGCUGGCGGCAUGCUUUACACAUGCAAGUCGAACGGUAACAGGCCGCAAGGUGCUGACGAGUGGCGAACGGGUGAGUAAUGCAUCGGAACGUGCCCAGUCGUGGGGGAUAACGCAGCGAAAGCUGUGCUAAUACCGCAUACGAUCUGAGGAUGAAAGCGGGGGACCGAAAGGCCUCGCGCGAUUGGAGCGGCCGAUGUCAGAUUAGGUAGUUGGUGGGGUAAAGGCUCACCAAGCCAACGAUCUGUAGCUGGUCUGAGAGGACGACCAGCCACACUGGGACUGAGACGCGGCCCAGACUCGUACGGGAGGCAGCAGUGGGGAAUUUUGGACAAUGGGCGCAAGCCUGAUCCAGCAAUGCCGCGUGCAGGAAGAAGGCCUUCGGGUUGUAAACUGCUUUUGUACGGAGCGAAAAGGCUCUCUCUAAUACAGGGGGCUCAUGACGGUACCGUAAGAAUAAGCGCCGGCUAACUACGUGCCAGCCGCCGCGGUAAGAC